rnacentral:rRNA from 1 species
GACGAACCGUGCGAACGUUAUUCGGAAUCAUUGGGCUUAAAGGGCGCGUAGACGGAUGACCGCGUCGAGUGCUGAAAUCCCCCGGCUUAACCGGGGAAUGGGCCUCGAAACGGGUCGUCUCGAGUGGAGGAGAGGGACCUGGAACUGCCGGUGGAGCGGUGAAAUGCGUUGAGAUCGGCAAGAACGCCAAUGGCGAAAGCAGGGUCCUGGACUCCAACUGACGUUGAGGCGCGAAAGCCAGGGGAGCGAACGGG